AUGGAAACACUAUACAUAUUGCACCUAUUGUGCCACUAGAAUAGAAAUAUUUAUAUCCACCAUUAACAAUGGUAGUGUCAAUAACAUAACAUACUGCCACAACACAAGGUCAACGUCAUAAACAGGGGUGUGCAUUGGUUUUCUAGUAAAGUAGGCAGUGUGGAGCUAACAAGUCGUAGUUGAGCUAGGAAUAUGCAAAGAUUGCUUACUGUAGAUCAUACCAUCAACAAAUAUUCAUUCACUUAUCUGCCUUGAAUGUGUGUCUAGACUCAGAGAUGCCAAAAGUUUCCGUGACUUGGUGGUGGAAGCAGAGAAGCAGCUGAUAAAAAUUGAAGUCGUAGAAGAGCCGGUGUGUGUCCAGACAGAUAGUGGUUCGGAUGUACUUAUCGAUGUCAACUUAGAUAUCCCAGUUAAAGAGGAAAAUGAUCAAAAUGAACUGGAUAGUGAAUGUGGCAAUUUUCAAAGAGCAGAUGGUGUACAUAAUGUAAAUGAUAUGUACAUAGGCAUCACAAUCAAACAGGAAACACUCGAUCCACUUAGUGAAUCGGAUAUAACAUAUGGAGAUUUUGAAAGAUGUGGCGAUGACAUUCAACGAGAAGAUGAACAAUCUGCGAAUAUCCAAGAAGAACCUCUGGACUCGAAAGGCGUCUUGCCAAAACAUAGCGAUUUUUACCUUGGACAAACUGAAAAUUCAACAUUAGUCGGCGACAGAGAGGAGCGUUUACUAGCGAAGCGAUUAUCGCAAAGAAUCUAUGAGACCUUGUGGGAUCCGGAGGUCAAUGUAACAGAUACCCGCAUAAGAUGCGAAGAAUCUUUACCAAUUCCAGCUGGCGUAUUGGAACACAGGAAAUCACACUUAUCUGAAUCUAAUUCAGAAUUUGAUGAUAUUAUAAGUAAAAAGAAACUCCAGAACAAAAUAAGGUGCAAACGAUAUAGAGAUAAGAAAAAAGCUGAUGCAGUAAUCAAUUCACAGACUGCCAAACAGCUACAGAUAACAGCUGAAGAAGCGGAAAGAAUAAGGCUUCGUAGAGAAAGAGAUAGAUGCAAAAGUAAGCGAUACAGGGAUAGAAAGAGAGCUGCCAAGUCGAAAGAGAAGAAACCAGAGUGAAGAAACAGAAGAGUCUUAGGCCUAUCGCAGAUGACACACUGUUUGUGAUAUUGAGUCUGCGGCACACAAAAAGACUGCAUUGCGCGCAAAAUGUCUUUGGCAGAUAUUUCACAGACUACAAUUUCGGUCAUUUUGUCCGCAGAACUGUAGGGAUGUACAAGCAAUGGAAGUACAGAGAUUGCGGUUUAUUAUUUCGUACUUGAGAUAUAAAAAACUAUAAACUAUAUUCUUUCAGCAAAAUUAUUAAAUGGACUGUUUCAUAUUAAACAUUCAGUUCUAAAACUGGCACACUUCAUCCCACAAUUUUCUUUUUAUAUUUCUGUCAUGAUACUCUACCAAUUACGUAUCAUACAGUGCUGCGGGCCUACCAUGAACUCUUAUUGCGAUGCAAGUGACAACCUAAAAUGAACUGCUUUGCAAUUUUGUACCACGACGUGAUUAGAGCUAUCUAAUUUAAGUUGACGUCAAACCAACUGAUUGAAUCGCAAUGAUGUCAAUUGAAUGUCAAAAAUGAUGUCAAUUGAAUCGUAAACUGAUUUAGUUCGUUCAUUCAUUCAUACCAUGAGGUUAUAUUUCAACCUAAACUGGAUAGCUUAUGUGUCAAAGCGAGCGAUUCGAGAAAAGUUGAAACUUCCUUAGAGGAAUGUAAAUCGUGUUGUUAAUAACUUUUAAAUAAUAGUGAAAACAUACAGAAAAGGAAAAUUUUAUUGAUGAAAGAUGAGAUGAGAAUACUUACUUUUUAGUAAAACAAAAUACUGAAAUUAAAUAUCAAACAUGAAAAUACUAAAGACGAAGCAGUAAGGGCCCGGGCCUGUUCGCAAGAACGAAUUAAAAAAAUGUACUCUGUGGUCCUGUCAAAUCAAACAGCUAUGGACGUCCGUUCAUUACUCGUUAUUUUUACGAAAACACCUAAGCAAACAUUUAAUUUGUAAUUCAAAGAACUAUAUUUAUUUAUAUUACUAUUAUUUAAUAAGUACAAAAAAGUGCCUAAGAGUUUAUAAUUUGACGCUAUAUAGCGCAAAUUUAAAAUGUAUUUUAAGUAUUUUCUACGCAAAAAAACCGCUAAAAUCAUAUCAUUUUAGGUUUCGAAACGCAACGCAUAUGGUUCGAGUAAGAGAGACAUACUUAUGCAAAGACUGUAGAGCGUCAUCUCUUUCUCACACCGUGGACCACAGACAAAUUUAUUUCGUUCAUUCUUCAUUAGCGAUCCAAACGCCAUUCCUUAAAAGGCACUUCAUGGUACGAAUUUUAGCGAUUCAGUUAAGGUACCUAAACUGAACUGCACCGGAAUCGCAUCGCUUGUUAAAAGUUGAUGGUAGUCCCCCUGGUCUCUGUUUUCUAUUUCUUGUAUCAACAUCGAUACAUCGAUGUCUAGCGCCAUGAUACACGUCAAACACUAGCAAGUGCAGACGACGGACUAAAGUGAGCGUCAGUUAGCGCGUGUUGACGCGAACGUUAUAUUUUUUGGCGCACUUUUUGCGCGUCGUCUGCGUUACCGCAAUUCUAUAUGUUUUAUUGUCACAGACUAAAAAGUGCGUCACGGAUAGUCUGCGAUAGGCCUUAGGGUGUGAAACUUUAGCGGUUUGUAGAUAUGUCUCACUUACUGAUUACUUAUCUUAAGAGGAUUCAUAAUAAUAUGAAAAAAAAUGCAAUUUCGUUUCAUAUAAAUACUAAGGCCAACGAGACGAUAUAAAGAAUAUAAACAAACGGACGGUUACGGAGUUACAUUCCGAUAGCGAGCGAUUAUUAUCUCUGUCCUUAUCACUCGUACGCCGUAAUUACGUCAGUUGGUCGACGACUUUCGUGGUACAGGAAAGCAGUUGUCGUCAACAUUUGGUCCGAAAUUUUGUGAACAAGUCCAUUAAUGUUUAGAUUGCGUUCAAAGUGAUAUAGCUAGUAUUUUUGCGUUUCCGUAUUUACUUAGUUUUUUUUUUAUUUAUUAUUAAUCGGUUGCUGUUAGUUUUAUUGUUAAUUUUUACUGUUUUUGAGUAGUUUUGUGACUGCGCUGUAGACAACCUUUGAAAUAAAUUAAAUUCACUACGCAAAAAGCGUCAAAGUUGUGUGGAUCGUUGACAACAUGAUUGAUAAUACAAUAGAUAGUGUUGUCAUAAAUACGACUGAUUCGGACCCUUCCGAUACAUCUUCUUUGUCUUAUACAGACGACAGCGAUUAGAAUAAGGCACCCAACAUUUAUAUAUAAUUUAUUCAAAUAAAAAUGUUAUCAAGCCCCGAUACUGUUUUAUUGUCACUACACAAAUAAAAUUGGAAAAAAAAUUUAUGAACGAUGCGGGAUUCGAACCCACGACCUAAACGCCGGUGCUCUAAACAACUGUUCGAAUCCCGCAUCGUUCAUAAAAUUUUGUUUUUCAAAUUUUAUUUGUGUAUUAAUCCUAGAAGUGAGGAUUAUUACUUUAAAAACAUAACAUAUUGUUUAGAUUUACAAGAGCGACAUCUCAAGUCAAUUGCCUUAUAUGCAAAUAUUGGGGUUGAGCAGGUUAUCAACUGUAAAGUAGAUCCUGUAGAUGAAGCCACAAUCUGAGAGUUGAACAAAGCAAACAGAAUUUUACAACGAGGUGGUACUCGAACGGUUAGCUCAGUUGUUUAGAGCACCGGCACGGAACGCCGGUCGUGGGUUGGAAUCCCGCAUCGUUCAUAAAAUUUUGUUUUCCAAAUUUUAUUUGUGUAUUGAUCCUAGAAGUGAGGGAUAUCACUUUAAAAACAUAACAUAUUGUAUUGUCAUUAUUUAUAGCACGGCAUGCAAAGGCACUGAUUUUAUGGUACGAGUUAUAUUUUGGUACUAGCUGACCCGGCAAACGUUGUUUUGCCAUAUAAAGUAUAAUUCACGCGAUAGUUUUAUAAGUAAUAAAAUAUUGCCUAUAUUAUAGCCUGUACAUCAUUUUGUUCUAUUGUCAAUAGUUUUUGCAGCGCACGCAAAAAUAGGUUUUCGAUUUUACACCUUGUGUUACAAAAUA